rnacentral:rRNA from 1 species
AUUGAACGCUGGCGGCAGGCCUAACACAUGCAAGUCGAACGGUAGCACAGAGAGCUUGCUCUCGGGUGACGAGUGGCGGACGGGUGAGUAAUGUCUGGGAAACUGCCUGAUGGAGGGGGAUAACUACUGGAGACGGUAGCUAAUACCGCAUAACGUCGCAAGACCAAAGAGGGGGGACCUUCGGGCCGUCCUUGCCAUCAGAUGUGCCCACGAUGGGAUUAG